rnacentral:rRNA from 1 species
GAGUAAUGUCUGGGAAACUGCCUGAUGGAGGGGGAUAACUACUGGAAACGGUGGCUAAUACCGCAUAACGUCGCAAGACCAAAGAGGGGGACCUUCGGGCCUCUUGCCAUCAGAUGUGCCCAGAUGGGAUUAGCUUGUUGGUGAGGUAACGGCUCACCAAGGCGACGAUCCCUAGCUGGUCUGAGAGGAUGACCAGCCACACUGGAACUGAGACACGGUCCAGACUCCUACGGGAGGCAGCAGUGGGGAAUAUUGCACAAUGGGCGCAAG